rnacentral:rRNA from 1 species
GAUGAACGCUGGCGGCGUGCCUAAUACAUGCAAGUCGAGCGAACGGACGAGAAGCUUGCUUCUCUGAUGUUAGCGGCGGACGGGUGAGUAACACGUGGAUAACCUACCUAUAAGACUGGGAUAACUUCGGGAAACCGGAGCUAAUACCGGAUAAUAUUUUGAACCGCAUGGUUCAAAAGUGAAAGACGGUCUUGCUGUCACUUAUAGAUGGAUCCGCGCUGCAUUAGCUAGUUGGUAAGGUAACGGCUUACCAAGGCAACGAUGCAUAGCCGACCUGAGAGGGUGAUCGGCCACACCGGAACUGAGACACGGUCCAGACUCCUACGGGAGGCAGCAGUAGGGAAUCUUCCGCAAUGGGCGAAAGCCUGACGGAGCAACGCCGCGUGAGUGAUGAAGGUCUUCGGAUCGUAAAACUCUGUUAUUAGGGAAGAACAUAUGUGUAAGUAACUGUGCACAUCUUGACGGUACCUAAUCAGAAAGCCACGGCUAACUACGUG